rnacentral:pre_miRNA from 1 species
AAUCAAGGAGAGAAUAGUCCCGAUUCCUGCUUACUGCAUGCCUUAUUUGGAUGUGCCCAAAUUCAGACCGGGUCACAUAUAUGGUGCAUUUUAAUGUAAAAUCUAGGGCCAAACAUAAUCACGAUUCUUUGCAUACUCAAACAGGGCAUUGCAGUUCAUUGAU